rnacentral:tRNA from 1 species
AGUUUUAUAGUCUAAUCUUAAGAUAUUAAAUUGCAAAUUUAAAGAUGAAUAAUAAUUUUAAAACUU